UCUUUCUGCCUCUGUUCUGCCACCUUCUCUGCUCGGCGAUCAGCAUUUGGCUUUUUCCAUUUGUGGCAGAUUACUGUAACGCUAUUGUACAACAACUUCCUGCCUCUUUUGGCUCUGGUUCUAAAAACUGCAAAGGCAGAGCUCGUGGCUUUAACUUUUUCCCCUCGGCCUUGAACUACAGGAGCUCUAUAAGGAAAUAAAAGGAGGAAGGGGAUAUGUAAAGUGUAUCUGUUACUGAGGAACUAUUUUGAUUGCAUUUCUGCUUUAUAAACUGCUGAGAAUUAAAGAGGGCAAGAGGGGACUACAUGCCUAGCAGACACAAUGAGAGAAAAAAAGGAUUCUGAAAGAAGAAGAACAAGAAGAAGAAGAAGAAGAAGAAGAAAAGAGACACAGAGAGAAAAAGAGCAAAGGAGAGCUUCUCCGGGGAACAGGCUGGAAAUUAUGGACCUAUUCGAUAUCAGACCUCAGAGUGGACAACCUAUCCAAAGAGGGACGCGCCCUAACUGUAACUAACAACUACUUCUGGCAGCCCCUCAACAGCCAAACAUAUUGUCCUGGAUCAGGGCAGCUUUCAUAUGGCAGCACUGAACUAGGGCAGCUAAGGCAAGAAAUCCACAUCAAACUUUAGCAUCAAUAAUGGAAUUAAAAUGUUGAUAACGAAGCAUUAAAAGUAAAUGAAUGUAUUUUUUUACAUAUCUGAGAUAGACUGAGCUCAAUCAUCCCUUCAUUUUGCUCAUCAAACUUUAAACAUGUUAAGGUGAUACAGAGUAAGAAAAAGAUUAAAUUAACAUUUUUACACCUUGAGCCAUUUUAGACAAAAAGGGGGACAAUUUUUUUUAAUUAAAUAUAAUUAUGUAUUAUGUAAAUGUUCCCUCAUACUUCUAUCAGUCCUGUGCUAUUACAGGACCAAAAUCAAACACUGAUACAACAUGGUUUGAAGUCUAAAGAUUAGAAUUUUGGGUUUUUAUAUUCAGCAUUAUGGCAGAAGUAAGCACGUGUGUUUUUAAUGUAUGAAAUUAGAUGAAUUAUGAUGCAGGAUGUUAAAAAUUAUACAUUUUUCCUGAUAAUAAAUAAAUAACUCUUUUUAAUAGUGUUACUCUUUAUUAAUUGUAAUACCCAAGUUAUUAUGGUAAUUACAAGAGCUAUUUCAGUGUAAUAAAAAACCUUGUAGAGUGGAUAUUAUGUGAUGUUGACUAAACAGUUGUGUGAAUAAACUUAUCUAAGGCACUAA